GAUGAACGCUGGCGGCGUGCCUAAUACAUGCAAGUCGAGCGAACGGGCGAGAAGCUUGCUUUUCUGCUUUUAGCGGCGGACGGGGGAGUAACACGUGGAUAACCUACCUAUCAGCCUGUGAUCACUUGGGGAAACCAGAUCUAAUACCGUAUAAUAUUUUGAACCACAUGGUCCAAAAGUACAAGACGGUCUUGCUCUCACUUAUAGAGGGAUCCGCGCUGCAUUAGCUAGUUGGUAAGGUAACGGCUUACCAAGGCAACGAUGCAUAGCCUAUCUGAGAGAGUGAUCGGCCACACUGGAAGUGCGACACGGGCCAGACUCCGGCGGGAGGCAGCCGAGGGGAGUCGGGUGCGGCGGGCGAAGGCCUGACCGAGCGGCGCGGCGUGAGGGAGGGGGGACGGCUGAUCGUAAAAACCUGCUAGUAGAGGAGAACGGACGUGUAAGGAGCCGUGCACUGCUUGGCGGAAGCCAGGCAGAGCACACCGGAUAGCUCAGUG
rnacentral:rRNA from 1 species